UACGGAGGGGGGCUAGCGUUGUUCGGAAUUACUGGGCGUAAAGCGCACGUAGGCGGCUUUUGUAAGUUAGAGGUGAAAGCCCGGAGCUCAACUCCGGAAUUGCCUUUAAGACUGCAUCGCUAGAAUUGUGGAGAGGUAAGUGGAAUUCCGAGUGUAGAGGUGAAAUUCGUAGAUAUUCGGAAGAACACCAGUGGCGAAGGCGACUUACUGGACACAUAUUGACGCUGAGGUGCGAAAGCGUGGGGAGCAAACAGG
rnacentral:rRNA from 1 species